CGUAGGUACCGAGCGUUAUCCGGAUUUACUGGGCGUAAAGCGCGUUCAGGCGGCGGGGCAAGUCGGGCAUGAAAUCCUUCGGCUCAACCGGGGGAGGCUGUCCGAUACUGUUUCACUGGAGGGCAGUAGAGGGUGGUGGAAUUCCGGGUGUAGUGGUGAAAUGCGUAGAGAUCCGGAGGAACACCAGUGGCGCAAGCGGCCACCUGGACUGUACCUGACGCUGACACGCGAAAGCUAGGGGAGCGGACGGGAUUAGAAACCCCGGUAGUCCUAGCUAUAAACGAUGUUGACUAGGUGUCGGUGGUCUAAACCCCGCCGGUGCCGCAGCCAACGCACUAAGUCAACCGCCUGGGGACUACGGCCGCAAGGUUA
rnacentral:rRNA from 1 species